GCAUAUCAAUAAGCGGAGGAAAAGAAACCAACCGGGAUUGCCUCAGUAACGGCGAGUGAAGCGGCAAGAGCUCAAAUUUGAAAUCUGGCCCCCCUCGGGGUCCGAGUUGUAAUUUGCAGAGGAUGCUUCGGGUGCGGCCCCCGUCUAAGUGCCCUGGAACGGGCCGUCAUAGAGGGUGAGAAUCCCGUCUGGGACGGGGUGUCCGCGUCCGUGUGAAGCUCCUUCGACGAGUCGAGUUGUUUGGGAAUGCAGCUCUAAAUGGGUGGUAAAUUUCAUCUAAAGCUAAAUACUGGCCGGAGACCGAUAGCGCACAAGUAGAGUGAUCGAAAGAUGAAAAGCACUUUGAAAAGAGAGUUAAAAAGCACGUGAAAUUGUUGAAAGGGAAGCGCUUGCGACCAGACUCGCCCGCGGGGUUCAGCCGGCAUUCGUGCCGGUGUACUUCCCCGCGGGCGGGCCAGCGUCGGUUUGGGCGGCCGGUCAAAGGCCCCCGGAAUGUAGUGCCCCUACGGGGGCACCUUAUAGCCGGGGGUGCAAUGCGGCCAGCCUGGACCGAGGAACGCGCUUCGGCACGGACGCUGGCAUAAUGGUUGCAAACGACCCGUCUUGAAACACGGACCAAGGAGUCUAACAUCUACGCGAGUGUUCGGGUGUCAAACCCGUGCGCGCAGUGAAAGCGAACGGAGGUGGGAGCCCCCCCGCGGGGCGCACCAUCGACCGAUCCUGAUGUCUUCGGAUGGAUUUGAGUAAGAGCGUAAAUGUGGGGACCCGAAAGAUGGUGAACUAUGCCUGAAUAGGGCGAAGCCAGAGGAAACUCUGGUGGAGGCUCGCAGCGGUUCUGACGUGCAAAUCGAUCGUCAAAUUUGGGUAUAGGGGGCGAAAGACUAAUCGAAACCAUCUGGUAGCUGGGUCUGCGAG
rnacentral:rRNA from 1 species